UGGGGUGUAGCUCAGUUGGUAGAACACAUGCUUAGCAUGCAUGAGGCCUUGGAUUCAAUCCACAGCACCCCAU
rnacentral:tRNA from 1 species